rnacentral:rRNA from 1 species
GACGAAGGAUGCAAGCGUUAUCCGGAUUCAUUGGGUUUAAAGGGUGCGUAGGAGGGCAGGUAAGUCAGUGGUGAAAUCCCCGAGCUUAACUUGGGAACUGCCGUUGAUACUAUCAAUCUUGAAUAUCGUGGAGGUAAGCGGAAUAUGUCAUGUAGCGGUGAAAUGCUUAGAGAUGACAUAGAACACCAAUUGCGUAGGCAGCUUACUACACGAUCAUUGACGCUGAGGCACGAAAGCGUGGGGAGCAAACAGG